UAUUUAUAGACUCUUAUCAUAUCUUCUAGAGAAUUCGACAAGUGUCUACAACCUAUACAAGAUUUUUUGGUGUCCAAGUUACUCUAGUGGAAUCUAGACAAUUCUAAUUUUUUAUUAUACUUGCUUACCAAGGAAUUCUAGGAUAUUCUAGGCAAGUAAUUCUAGAUUCUUCUAGAAAUGAGCAUCAUUAAAUUUAUCAGUAUCAAAGAUUACGAGGUUUUGCAUGAUAUGUCUGGCUUAGUUUCCACUGAGAAGCUUCCUCAUUUACUUCAAGAAGAGGUACCAAUAUCACUUAUAUUCUCUCAAAUGAACCACAUUCCUAAGUUUUCUUAACCUUCAUAUUGUUCUAGAGUGAGGGUUUUAUCUGUUUAUUUGAGAAAAAUUUGAAGCGUUGGUUAUGUUGUUCAACUCAUUUCUUAAACUCCUCAUUAACCAUUUAAAAUAAGAUGGCAUUGAAACAUUAAACCACAUAUCCAAUAAAUUUGGGGUGUUGGGCUAUAUUCAGUUGGAUAUCUUCGUGGUCAAAUAGAAACCUUUCAACUGCUUAGCUACAAUAUUCAUUUUCAUUUAUGCUUUUAACAUCAUAUGUAAGGGCACAUAAAUUCUACUGUUUAUUGAAAAAUUAUAGAUAUUCACUUCGUGUUAUUCACUUGACCGAUCAUUCUUAUCGUACUUUCAUAUCUCUUCAUAAUGUGAAACUGGAAUUUGUGGUCUUUUCCUAGCCGAUUAUAGAGUGUGUGUGUGUGUGUGUUCCGCCCCCCCACCCCCCUAAAAAAAAACCUUAUGCUGUCUUUUUGAGAUUAAUUUCAAGAAAUUUUCGAGUAACUAAGCUUUAUUCACUUCUCUACGUGAAUCAUUCUUUGUGAUUCCACUAUUCAUGUCUAGAUUCACUAGGAUAUCUAAAGUAACUAGAUUCUUUGCAAAUGCAAUAUGGCAUAUUAAUUUUUUCUUUUGCUGCCUUCCUCUUCUAAUUUCUCUUUUGGAAUCACGUCAUUAUGCGGAAGGGGCCAACCAUAACCCAAAACACCUAAGUUGUUGUUCUGUUAUUUUCCUCAAUCGUCACCACCUCCACUUGUUGAGUUAUAUUUCAAUUACUUAUCUAUUUUAGCAUGACUACAUCCAUCUUUGCGUCCUCUUUUCAGCUUCAUUCAUCUUAUGGACAUUUGACUUUUAAUAACCCAACCCUUGGAACCGUAAACAUAGACAGUUGAAUUAUUUCGUGUAGGACUAGCCUUUUAACGUUACCAGAAUCUUCUUAUCACAGAGAAUUUUUGUAGCACGUCUCCAUUUCAUCCACCCUCACUAAAUCCUAUGCAUUACAUCCAAUUCUGUCGAUCUAUCCCUCCUUGUUAAUAUUCGAAGGUGGAUACAUGAAACAAUGAACAACAUGAUGUUCUAAUAGUUCGUUAUUAUCCUUAUUUCUGCACUACUAAAUAUGCAUUUUCAGGCGAAUACUAGAUCUCCAACUUUUUCAUGUUAAUUUGUUCUAAAAUUUUGUUGUGAAUGAUCUUGAACAAUCAAUUCUCAUGACAAAUGGUAAGAAGGGUAAAACUCUUAUUAAUUGGUUCAGAUGAACAGCUCGCUGAGUUCUAUAUUUCCCAUCUCUUUUUAUCCCAUCUCUGGUUCCCUAGGUUCACCUUUGACUUUCAUAUCACCAAUUUUCAUCAUUUAACUUUUGCUUUGCUAGUGAUUUACAUUUUUCUUGUUGUUAUGGCAGAUUUUGCACUUGCGGAGUCAGCUACUUAUUCUUAAGCGAUGCAACGAUAGCAAGGUAGAAAAAGAUCUGUGUCCACCCCUAAUUUAAGCAUCUUUCAUUCUCUAGUCGUUUAGAUGUAAGAAAUGAAUAUCCAUAUCCUUUUACAAGUCCAAAAAAAGUACUCAUAUAAGUACUAACAUUUUUAGGAGACCACUGCAGAAAAAUUGUUAUUGCCUUUUAUAGGUUUGAGACAACCAUCAGUAUGUGCUUCCCAAGGCGUCAAUGCUCUAAGCGGCAAAGUAACAGUUCUCCAGCGAUUCAAAUUCUCUUUGAAUGAAAAUUCUUACAUGAAAAAUGUCAGCCAUGGUGUCUCUGUUGAUAGUC
rnacentral:lncRNA from 1 species